GUGCCAGCCGCCGCGGUAAUACGUAGGGUGCGAGCGUUGUCCGGAAUUACUGGGCGUAAAGAGCUCGUAGGUGGUUUGUCGCGUUGUUCGUGAAAUCUCACGGCUUAACUGUGAGCGUGCGGGCGAUACAGGCAGACUAGAGUACUGCAGGGGGGACUGGAAUUCCUGGUGUAGCGGUGGAAUGCGCAGAUAUCAGGAGGAACACCGGUGGCGAAGGCGGGUCUCUGGGCAGUAACUGACGCUGAGGAGCGAAAGCGUGGGGAGCGAACAGGAUUAGAUACCCUGGUAGUCCACGCCGUAAACGGUGGGUACUAGGUGUGGGUUUCCUUCCUUGGGAUCCGUGCCGUAGCUAACGCAUUAAGUACCCCGCCUGGGGAGUACGGCCGCAAGGCUAAAACUCAAAGGAAUUGACGGGGGCCCGCACAAGCGGCGGAGCAUGUGGGAUUAAUUCGAUGCAACGCGAAGAACCUUACCUGGGUUUGACAUGCACAGGACGCGUCUAGAGAUAGGCGUUCCCUUGUGGCCUGUGUGCAGGUGGUGCAUGGCUGUCGUCAGCUCGUGUCGUGAGAUGUUGGGUUAAGUCCCGCAACGAGCGCAACCCUUGUCUCAUGUUGCCAGCGGGUAAUGCCGGGGACUCGUGAGAGACUGCCGGGGUCAACUCGGAGGAAGGUGGGGAUGACGUCAAGUCAUCAUGCCCCUUAUGUCCAGGGCUUCACACAUGCUACAAUGGCCGGUACAAAGGGCUGCGAUGCCGUAAGGUUAAGCGAAUCCUUUUAAAGCCGGUCUCAGUUCGGAUUGGGGUCUGCAACUCGACCCCAUGAAGUCGGAGUCGCUAGUAAUCGCAGAUCAGCAACGCUGCGGUGAAUACGUUCCCGGGCCUUGUACACACGCCCGUC
rnacentral:rRNA from 1 species